GACGAACGCUGGCGGCGUGCUUAACACAUGCAAGUCGAGCGGUAAGGCCCUUUCGGGGGUACACGAGCGGCGAACGGGUGAGUAACACGUGGGUGACCUGCCCUUAGCUCUGGGAUAAGCCUGGGAAACUGGGUCUAAUACCGGAUAUGACCUCAUGACUCAUGUUGUGGGGUGGAAAGCCUUGUGCGGCUAGGGAUGGGCCCGCGGCCUAUCAGCUUGUUGGUGGGGUAAUUGCCUACCAAGGCGACGACGGGUAGCCGGCCUGAGAGGGCGACCGGCCACACUGGGACUGAGACACGGCCCAGACUCCUACGGGAGGCUGCAGCGGGGAAUCUUGCGCAAUGGGCGAAAGCCUGACGCAGCGACGCCGCGUGAGGGAUGACGGCCU
rnacentral:rRNA from 1 species